GUCGCAACGAUCUGCGGGGCCAUCUGGAAAUUGUGUAAUAGAGCUUGUUUUGAUCAGAAAAUGGUUAGAUAUCCGACUGAAUUUAUAUGUUAUGCAUGUUCUUUUAUUUGAUACUGGGCAGGUCUCCGUGAUGAUGAAGAGAAAAAAAUGAUGGAGAUGGGCGCUACUCAUCUGCAACGAGAGGCGCUGAUGAUGCAUACAUAG
rnacentral:rRNA from 1 species